CCCGAAUGAGGUUACAAUGGAAAGAAGUAGAUGUAAAUGGAAAGAAGAAAGAAGGCCUAGAUCAGCUCUAAAGUUCUCCCAAGAUCAAGCACACUCAAAGAGAAUUAAUACAAAAUCAGAACUAUGGCUAUACAGGCAUGCAAUCACACUAGAAAGAAAAAAUUUUGCCUAAAACUCUCCAGGGUUAAAAAUUUGUCAAAAUUGAACUUGUUACUCUCUAUCAUGC
rnacentral:lncRNA from 1 species